GGGCUUGAGCCAGUGGUGGCGCUACGCUCUCCAAAAGCGAUAGCCGGGGGUUCGACUCCCUCCAAGUCUGCGA
rnacentral:tRNA from 1 species